rnacentral:lncRNA from 1 species
AUGUCUGCGGGACCACCAAUUAAGAAAGCAUUCGGGAAUUCCGGAAAGUUCUUUAAAAAGCUUUCGAUCUUGUCAACUGUACAGAGGUCAGAUGAAGGAUGAUCAUAACUCAAGGAAACCUAUAGCCAUGGUUGUAAAAAUUGGUAGACGCUAAUCGGCCGUUGGGAUACGCGAUUAAUCGGAUUGGGAUUUUAUAUGUAAUUUUCAGUUUAUACACACACACAAACAUUUCUAUAUGUAAUCUUUCUAUGUAUACAGGUUUUAACCCCUUCUCAACCCAUUUUUUAAGUACACAGGAUUAGUCGCCAGAAUUUACAGGUUUUGGCCGGAAUCUGGCCGGAAUCGUCUAUUUCCGGCUGACCAGCAAUUAAUUGACUGAUUACAUAAAAAUUAAUUAGUGGCCGACCAAUUAGCGGCUAGUAGCUGAUUAGUCCUGAUUUUUCCGAUGCUGACUGUAGCUUAACAAAAGUUACAUACCCAUUUGUGAAAAAGAAGGGCAAAAAUAUGAGAAGCGAACGGCUGGCUCCAGAGUUGAACAAUCAAAACAAGAAUCGGUUUCCCAUGUUCAGGUUCCAAGGAAAAAUGAUCAGCAAGAACAUCGUAAAAGCAUAUGGGAAUCUUUACUUCUAUUAAUGAAUCAGAAGCUGCAUCUUCUCUGCCAAGAAUUAUGUCUGUUCCAAGUCCAAAAAACCUUGGUGAAAAAUAAAAUAAGAUAAUAUAAUUGUUGGCGUUUUGCACCCUCAAUAAUGACUGGCACUAAUUUACCUCUUAUGGCUGAUUGAAAACAUUUUGUUAACAUAGUAAAUAUAGAAUUUAUAGGUAACUGAUAAAUAAAGCUGUUAGAAGGCGUCACGUAUAUAGUCGUCAAUAGCGAAUAGUUGACAAUAGCGACAAGCUAUUAUAUUUUAUUAAUAUAUGCUAUUUUUACAUGUAUAUUUCAUCUCAAUACGCUUCUUUUUUCAAUCAUAAAAAAAACUAAUGGCUAUUUAUAAUUAUAAAACAAUUAAAAAAUAACAGAAAAGGUCGCUAUUUGUUGCUAUAAAGCCUAUAGCGCCAUAUGGGCUCCACGCUACGUAGUGCGCUAUAGCUGCUAUUGACAACUAUGGUCACAUAAAAGAAGUUUGGCAAGGAAACAGUUAUUAUAAAGCCACAUUCAGAUGAGCUUAUGUUUGGAAUCUAUCCGAUACACAUACACUACAAAUUCUAACCUUGCAUUCAAUGUAAGGCCACUGUUCUAUACAGCAGGAUAACCACCAUGCCAUUUCUAAAUUCUAACUCAGUAAUAAAACAGUUAUAUACUUCCCGAGUCCCUAGACAACGUAGUUCCAAAAACAAAAUCAUAUGACCACGUGCCAUUUAAAGCGUCUUCUUAUGUCCUUUUCUUUCCCCUACAUAUCUAACAACAUAGCAGUAAC